rnacentral:rRNA from 1 species
AGGGGCCCGCACAAGCGGUGGAGCAUGUGGUUAAUUCGACGCAACGCGAAGAACCUUACCAGGGCUUGACAUCCCCUGACCGCGUAUGAAAGUACGUUUUCACCCUCGGGUGACAGGGAGACAGGUGGUGCAUGGUUGUCGUCAGCUCGUGUCGUGAGAUGUUGGGUUAAGUCCCGCAACGAGCGCAACCCCUACGUUUAGUUGCUAACGCGUGAAGGCGAGCACUCUAGACGAACUGCCGUUGACAAAACGGAGGAAGGUGGGAUGACGUCAAAUCAUCAUGCCCCUUAUGUUCUGGGCUACACACGUGCUACAAUGGCCGGUACAGACGGACGCAAAGCCGCGAGGUGGAGCAAAUCCUAAAAAGCCGGUCUCAGUUCGGAUUGCAGGCUGCAAUUCGCCUGCAUGAAGUCGGAAUCGCUAGUAAUCGCAGGUCAGCAUACUGCGGUCGAAUACGUUCCCGGGCCUU